CGUGAGGUCGCCGACCUCGCCUCCGACGUCGGCUUCUUCCGCGACGUCGUCACCGGCGAGUUUGAGAAGUUCACGAGGGUGACGAUGAUCCUGCCGCUGACGCGCGCGCAGUACUCAGACAAGGUGACCGAGAACUGCGUCACGUACUGGAAGGCCACCAGCGUGUACACGGGCACGGAGGCCGCCUCCGUCGACAAGUUCAAGGCUUUCAAGCGCCACAGCUUCGCCCCCGGCGCCUCCAUACUCACCCACUCCCCCGCCGGCGUCCUCACCAUUGCCUUCUCCAUGGACACAUCGGUGCCGGAGUCCGGCGGCGCGGCUAUCGAGAGCGCCCGGCUCUACGAGGCCGUGCUCGAGUCCAUCAUCGGCGAGCACGGGGUGUCGCCGGCCGCGAAGCUCAGCCUGUCCACCAUGGUCCGGGAGGUCGCGGAUCGCGUCCAGCAGUGGGCGGCUGUAGUCCUCGAAGGUGGGCGUGUCGCGCAGCCACGCAGUGCCCCGCGAUGCGGAGCAGGGCGGUCACCUUGUACUAGCACCACCCGCCGUGGCCCGUGCCGUGCACCAGAAUGA
rnacentral:rRNA from 1 species